rnacentral:misc_RNA from 1 species
CUCGACAGCGCAUCGGGUUCAGUGCUGUCCCCGAAGCUGGCGACGUUGAGAGAGUGCAUGUGUGCGAAAAGCGUGAGACACUCUUCUGGCAACUGGCUCAUCUUGUCGCCGUUGUGAGUGUGCCCUGUGAGUGCCGCCUGUGCGAGUGUUUUUGCGCGCGAGUGGGUGCAAGCGCCAAGUCUCUUACGCUUCUCUGCUUUCGGAAAACUAACUCUUCGACCUUUUUGAUCACACAGUUCAUAACACCGCUCCAACAGCGGGGGCGUCCACCCUUGUCGCGGCAACGCAGUGCAGAGAAUGCCAGCAACGGGCGCCACACCUGUUUUCUUCUUUUUUUCGUUUUGCUGUCAAAACCCCACCUCACGUCUUCAGCCAUGACGGUGCGUCGAGCAACGGGCGCCCUCUCGCGACGCGGCGUAUUCUCUGCAGCGCACGCAGCCGCCUUCAUCGGCCCUUCGCUUUUUCUUGCAUCUUUUCUUCUGCAAACGCGUCGGCUGCUUCACAUGCCGCCCGGCGGCUUCGAGGAGGCGCUGCCGGACUCGUUUGGCAGACAAAGCGGAAAGGGAGAGCUGAGCAGUGUGAAUCUGCUCACCAGGCGACAGAGUGCACGACGCAUAACGAAGAAUCGGCGAAAACUACGGCUGCCGCCGCCGUCCUCGCCUCCGCCGACGCUCGCCAAGGUGAAAGGUGAGUUGCUGCACCUCAUACAGCAGACGCGGGAGGCACGCGAGGACGCGCUGUCGAGGCCCGCAGAGGCGGUGAACAUGAGCGCGGCAGAGUCGUUCUCGUCUCCGUCCGCAAGCCGCAUCCUGCCGGUCGACGUUGCGGAUAGUAUUUGCCAAGAUGAGGAGGGGGAGGGCAGGUCAACGUCUUGCUCAUCGCACAUCACCCGCUUUGUUUACGAGGCCAGCAACUCCGCACCAGCAAUGAGUGCGGCGAGCUCAUCAUCUCCGGCUUCGUCGCUCACAGUGAAGUCACCACCAGAAGAGGCUUGGACGUCGGACGAGGAUGCUAUGGAGCGGCUCUAUGCUGUCAAGCCGACAAGCACCAUCUUCGGGAGCGAUCUUGACCGACUCGAGCGAGACAUGAUGCGGGAUUACCAUCAGAGAGGAGCCAGGCUUCCACCGCGUGACCGGGUGUACGCCGAGUUUGGUGGCAGCCAACGCGGCCGGCGGAUGCAAUGGGAGCCGUCGUCGUCCUUUGACCGUCUUGCCGCCUCCGAUUUCCGUUUUCAUGCGCGUAGUGAAACAGCUGUUGGGGACGACACUAACCGCAACUUGGCUGCUUACCAUCUUUACGCUGAGGCAUACCAGACGCAGCAGGAGGAGAGCCGGCGGUCUCAACGCGGCAGGGCCACGAAGGGCAAGGGCGUCAACCUUUGCCGCGUCGACCAGGGCGCUAGUGUCGGCGCCGAGACUGACCUUCCUGCCUCGGAGAAUCCCCACUUCCCCACCGGAGGCCCCAGUGACACGAAUCACUUGAGGGCCUCGUCAUCUGAACACGUCGGUGAGUCUGAUGAGGGGCUCCUUAGCGGUGUCCGGAGCGCGCCAAAGGAGGUCGUGGUGAACGCGCGGACAGACUACAAAGCACGGCUAUCAAUCGUGUCAAGUCCACCCUGCGAAGGCGAGGAUGCGAAUCGCAUUGUCUAUGACGCUUAUAACCAGAGGCCGACCGACAACACACUUCUCGAGGUGCGCGGCGCGGAUUACUGGGGCCACUACGAGAACAGACGUCGCGUGGAAGAGCGUAGUGCAUAUCGGCAGGAGGCAGUUGCGAGAGAGGUGCUGCAGGAAGGGGCUGUGGACACGAGCGAGGUGGAGUACAGCACGAACAAGGUCCGCAAGGAGACGCUUCUGUACUUUCAGGCGCACCCCAUCAACGAGAUGAUUCAGGAACCGUUUGUCCGUAUUCGCCAGCUCGUGCCUCCUGGUGGUGGCGCUAGUGUUUCCUUCAACCCCAACGAGCCGCCGCCGACCCCGGCGGAGAGCGAGAAUGGCGGACGAAGGGUCAUUGAGUCGGUCAACAUGGACGCCGACAUACCCGUUCAGGAGGCACGACGGAUGGCACAGGAGCUGGGCCUGGAUUUGGUUCGCAUCGGUGCCAUCUACUCGCAGAAGACGGAUCGCCGUAUCAUUGCACUGUGCAUGAUUGGCGACCACCGCGAGCACAUGCGUGAGAUGAUAAAGUUCAAAAUACAGAAGCUUGGCGUACAGCCUCCACCGACGAAGGAGUGCAUUGAGGUGCCCUUCAAGGGCGGCACUCACCCACACGCGAUACGCUUCAAGUGUGUGGGUGUGGCCAAGCAUCUUCUCCAUCGCCAUGCGAUUCGGAUCAACCUGACCAAGUUCGGCACCCCGCGUGAGGGGUUUCCGGUCUUUCAGAGCAUUCUGGACGAGCUGAAGCGGCAGUGCAUGCGGCUAAAGGCGUACCAUACCGCUGGUCAAAUCCAGUCGAACUACGACGAGAUUUUUUGCUACCUGUAUCCCUCCACGGGACGAUCUCCAAAGACGACUGUGACGCACCCCACACCGCAGCAGGUUCUGGAGGCGCGCGAUGAACGCAUUCUCGAGAAUGAGAAGGAGAUAUACUUUGACGAUCUGCAGGAUAAGGCCACGCGGAAGCAGCGACUGCAGUACAUGCUGAAACUUGAGAACGGCACGGCGUGGGCGGAGAAGGAUGAGGGCAUGUCUCUGCAGCGGCAGCGCGCCAUCAAGGUGAUGCUUGGGUACCUGCCGAAGGGGAACAGAGAGUUGUACGCGGCCCGCGGUGAUGUGAACGUUCCCGCCCCGUUCCGUGCUAGCCACCCGACGUCGGUGCACAAGUGGUCGUACCCGUCCGAGUCCAACUUGGAGCAGGCAAGUCGCGGUGCGGCCGCACUGGGCAAGCGUGCUGCCAUGCCCAUCAGCGAGAUGCACGACGCUGGAGAGAUGCCGGAGAACCCGACGCAGCUCGAUCGCUUUUACUACACGGCGCAGGGACCCGCCCUCGAGAUGGGCGAGUUCAAGGAGGCGCUGGGGCUCAAGGACAACCGGGCGCGGCGUCCGCCUAUGGGGGCGGGGUUUUCCACUCUGGGUGUUGGGUCUGCGGACGAGACUGUGCAGAAUGGCUUUGCGACUAAGUAGACGAGACCACCUCCCUGCCUACCACCGCUAACGGCCUUCUAUGCGACGUGGUCUGUGAGGAGUCGGAAAUGCCCUACGACGAUAACAGGAAUAGUUUUUAAUUUUUUUUUAUCGGCCGCCGUGGGUCACGCCUACGCCGCUGACGCGGGUGACGUGGCUUGUGUGGUGUGUCUUUCCCCCGCUACCCAGGCAGCAGUUGCUUAGCACGUGACGCUUUCUUCUUUGUAUUUCACUUCACAGACAACAUCCCUUCCUGUGUUCGGUGCUCCUCUUUUCAUUGAGCUUACCAACUGCUAUGGGAAGGGGGGAGAUAGAGGCGGUGCGUGUGUGUGGAACUGCGCAUGCUCAUGAGUGAUCACAGAUUUCGAAGUGCCGUCACGUCGAUUAACAAACACAUCAGCGCGCGACAGUGCCAGCGCUCCUCAUGGUGGUCUCCUGCGAUGGUGAACGAUGAAGGGGAAGUAGGGUCUAUAUCUCAUGCGAUGAAGAUGACAUGCACAGAGUUGGUGUGUGUGGGGAGGAACAGCAACUGCGGAGGCACCACCUUUAGAGAGACGACGGGAGCUCGUCACGUUGGCGCGAGACACGCAUCGUCUGUGGUUUCUCUCCUCUCCAUUCGAAGGAUCUCUCUGUCAGUGCGCAACGCGACACUUUUUUCACCCCCUUCCCUUCCUUUGACGUCUACCCUUCUUUGUGCUCACCCGACCUGACCGACUUGAAUAG